AAACGACUCUCGGCAACGGAUAUCUCGGCUCACGCAUCGAUGAAGAACGUAGGAAAAUGCGAUACUUGGUGUGAAUUGCAGAAUCCCGUGAACCAUCAAGUUUUUGAACGCAAGUUGCGCCCGAAGCCAUCCGGUUGAGGGCACGCCUGCCUGGGCGUCACG
rnacentral:rRNA from 1 species